GACUGUAGGCUGCAACUCGCCUACACGAAGUCGGAAUCGCUAGUAAUCGCGGAUCAGCAUGCCGCGGUGAAUACGUUCCCGGGCCUUGUACACACCGCCCGUCACACCAUGGGAGUUUGUAACGCCCGAAGUCGGUGGCCUAACCUUUAUGGAGGGAGCCGCCUAAGGCGGGACAGAUGACUGGGGUGAAGUCGUAACAAGGUACC
rnacentral:rRNA from 1 species